ensembl:lncRNA
AGACCUGACUGGUGCCUUACUGGCCUCAGCUCCGCCAUUGCAUGUUCAUCCGAACUAGGACCCAGGCCUACUUGGAGAAGGGUUUGGGUGCGGAUUUCUACAAACUGCCAAGGGCUACAGCAAUGAGAACUCUCUCAGCGACCUGCUUCAGCAUGAAGGACUGCACUUAAAGGGAUGCAUACUAUUCCAGCUCAAGCAACAGAUACUGAAGUGCAGAUCACUGUCCUUUGUUGAAAAGGAUCAGCAGUUUGUCAACAUAGGUAACACGCCAGAGCAAGCCUUGGGAUGCAACUCUGAAAACAGGUUAGGCCCUCUUUUCCCCAAGCCCUGCAAUAAAA